GGGCGCGUAGCUCAGCGGGAGAGCAUUCGCUUCACACGCGAAGGGUCGCAGGUUCAAUCCCUGCCGCGCCCACCA
rnacentral:tRNA from 1 species